rnacentral:rRNA from 1 species
AGUGAACGCUGGCGGUAGGCCUAACACAUGCAAGUCGAACGGCAGCACAGUAAGAGCUUGCUCUUACGGGUGGCGAGUGGCGGACGGGUGAGGAAUACAUCGGAAUCUACUUUUUCGUGGGGGAUAACGUAGGGAAACUUACGCUAAUACCGCAUACGACCUACGGGCGAAAGCAGGGGAUCUUCGGACCUUGCGCGAUUGAAUGAGCCGAUGUCGGAUUAGCUAGUUGGCGGGGUAAAGGCCCACCAAGGCGACGAUCCGUAGCUGGUCUGAGAGGAUGAUCAGCCACACUGGAACUGAGACACGGUCCAGACUCCUACGGGAGGCAGCAGUGGGGAAUAUUGGACAAUGGGCGCAAGCCUGAUCCAGCCAUACUGCGUGGGUGAAGAAGGCCUUCGGGUUGUAAAGCCCUUUUGUUGGGAAAGAAAAGCAGCAGGUUAAUACCCCGCUGUUCUGACGGUACCCAAAGAAUAAGCACCGGCUAACUUCGUG